AUGCUCGCCUCCCGCAUCCCGCCCAAGCGCUGCACCGCCGCCGUCCCGUACGAGCUGGAGCCCCCCGCCGCCGCCGCCGAGGGCAUGCCGCCCGCCAAGCGCCGCCGGGAGCGCGUCCUGCCCUCGCGGUUCAGGGACUCGGCCGUCCUCCUGCCGCCGCCCGCCAAGAAGGCCUGCAAGGCCCCCGCGCCGCCCAAGGUCGAGGACAGGGACGGCCAGGUGUACGAGGUGGAGGUGCGCGCCGUCGGCCCGAAAGGCUCCGCCUUUGGGGCCGUGCAGACCGAGGUGUGGACCGGCGAGCCCGCGCAGACGGAGGAGGAGCUGUACCGGGCAUGCCGGAACAUCAGCAGGAGCGGCAGUUCGGGCUGUUUCAGUGGAAGCGUUGUCACUUCCGUGAGCAAUGCUGGUGAGAAAUGCGCGCCGGAGAAGACGCCCGUGGUGGGCGCUGUGGUCCCGUCCACGAGCAAUGCUGGUACUGGAAAUGUCGGGCUGGAGGGGAGGUCCCCGGUGGUGGAGUGCAAGCCAAAGCAGGAGGCCGAGGUCAGGAGAGAGGAUUUCUACUGGCCAGAGGAUUUUGUGCUCGGGGACGUGGUGUGGGCAAGGUCGGGGAAGAAGAGCCCCGCGUGGCCGGCGUUAGUGAUCAACCCGCUGCAGCACGCCCCGGAGGUUGUGCUCAACUCUUGCGUCCCCGGCGCGCUCUGCGUCAUGUUCUUCGGUUACUCUGCCGGCGGCCAAAACAGGGACUAUGGAUGGGUCAAGCAAGGGAUGAUCUUUCCCUUUGUGGAGUACCUAGAUAGGUUCCAGGGACAAUCUCUCCAUAAGCUUAAGCUCAAGCCAAGCAAAUUCCGUGCAGCAAUUGAGGAGGCUUUCCUUGCCGAGCGCGGCUUUUUUGAGCUCCAAAUGGACGGGGUCUGCUCUCUGGACAAGUCUGUGAAUGAGCAGUCUGUCACCGAUGGCGCACGUGAAGUGACUGGUUCUAAUAACGAGCAGGAGUGUCAAUCUCAUUCUCAGGUUGUCGUUAAAUUAGCAGCAUGUUGCGAUAGCUGCGGUAAUCGUCUUCCAUCCAAGAUUUCAAAGAAAAAGAAGCAAGAAACAGAGCAGUUACUUUGUAGGCACUGUGAAAAGCUAUUGCAGUCAAAGCAAUACUGUGGCAUAUGCAAGAAAAUUUGGCAUCACACAGAUGGCGGAAACUGGGUAUGCUGUGAUGAGUGCCAGAUUUGGGUUCAUGUAGAAUGCGACCGGACAUGCAGUGACCUGGAGGAUUUAGAAAAUACCGAGUAUUUCUGUCCUGAUUGUAAGUCUAAACGCAAGAGAGUAAUGAAAGUUGAACAAACGAGCACCUCCAAUAGUUCAGAAUUUGCCAGCACUUCAAAGGAAAAGUUGCCUGAAUCCAUACCUGUGUGCUGCUCUGGGAUGGAAGCAUUGUACUUGCCAGAAAAGCACAUGAUAUUAUGUGAAUGCAGGUCUUGCAAGAAAAAGAUGAUGACUCUGAAUGAGUGGGAGAGGCAUACUGGCUCAAGGAAGAAAAAUUGGAAGAUGAGUAUUAAACUCAAGGGCACUGGGGAGCCACUAAUUGACUUGCUUCAUGAUAUUCCGGGUGGAAAUUUCAAGUCUUCUACCCCAGGCAUUAAGAAAGAAGAGUUGCUUUCAUUACAAGCAAACUCUUACAGUCCAGUCUAUGCUAAAUGGACAACUGAACGUUGUGCUGUCUGUCGGUGGGUUGAGGAUUGGGACUACAACAAAAUUAUCAUUUGUAACAGAUGUCAAAUAGCUGUCCAUCAAGAGUGCUAUGGAGCUCGUGUCGUACAGGAUUUAACUAAUUGGGUUUGUCGAGCUUGUGAACUGCCCCAACAAAAAAAGGAGUGCUGCCUAUGCCCUGUAAAAGGUGGUGCUCUCAAGCCAACUGAUAUUGACCAACUGUGGGUUCAUGUCAUGUGUGCCUGGUAUCAGCCUAAAGUCUCCUUUCCUGUUGACGAGACAAUGGAGCCAGCUGUGGGCAUAUUGAGCAUCCCUUCUGAGUACUUUAAGAAGACAUGUAUCAUAUGCAAGCAGAUGCAUGGGGCCUGCACCCAGUGCUACAAGUGUUCUACUUAUUAUCAUGCAACAUGUGCAUCAAGAGCUGGAUAUCGCAUGGAGUUGCAAUACUCUGAGAGAAAUGGUAGGAAGGUGACUAAAAUGGUCUCCUACUGUGCGUUUCACAGUACUCCUGACCCAGAUAAUGUGUUGAUAGUGAAGACACCAGAUGGAGUGUUCUCCACCAAAUUUUUGCUCCAAAACAAUGAGAAACAAUCUCCUGCAAGACUAGCUAAGAGUGAAAAUCACCAGGAGGUUUUUCCUGCUGAAGUUUCUGAUUGCCCAGCUGCAAGGUGCCUACCUUAUGAAAUCUUGAAAAACAAGAAACAACAAGGAGAGGCAGUUGCCCAUCGAAUAAUGGGACCCCGACACCACUCUCAAGAUUUGAUUGAGGCUUUGAACACAUACAUGCAGGACCAGAAGGGCGACCGACCUUUUGCUACGUUCAAAGAAAGGCUUCAAUAUUUACAGAGAACUGAAAAUAAGAGGGUCUCUUGUGGUCGAUCUGGAGUACAUGGAUGGGGGCUCUUUGCUGUUAGGAAAAUUCAAGAGGGGCAAAUGGUGAUCGAAUAUCGUGGGGACCAAGUCAGACGUAGUGUUGCUGAUUUGAGGGAAGCACGAUAUCACAAGGAAAAUAAAGACUGCUACCUGUUCAAAAUAAGUGAAGAUGUUGUGAUUGAUGCUACGGAGAGAGGAAACAUCGCCCGCAUAAUUAACCACUCGUGCAUGCCUAACUGCUACGCGAGGAUCGUGAGCGUCGGCGACAACAAGAGCCAGAUAAUUCUGAUUGCCAGAAGAGAUGUCUCAGCCGGAGAAGAAUUGACGUAUGACUACAAAUUUGACCCGGACGAGUCGGAGGAUCGCAAGGUUCCCUGCCUGUGUAAAGCCCCUAACUGCCGUGGAUACAUGAACUGA
rnacentral:rRNA from 1 species